UUUCCGUAGGUGAACCUGCGGAAGGAUCAUUGUAGGAUUGUUUUGGGAGGGGUGGUUGUGAUUUGUGGGGAUUGUGUGUGAUUGUUUGGAUUGCCUGGAUUGCCUGGCUGUCUGCAACUCGACUCGUCUCAUCACAACCACUCUUUACAUUGGCACAGACCAGUGGUCUGAUGUUUAGAGCACAGACUCAGUCUGAUGUUUGCGCUUGUUCGUUUGACAGAAACAGUACCAUAUCAUUGCAAAACUUUUAACAAUGGAUCUCUUGGCUCUU
rnacentral:misc_RNA from 1 species